rnacentral:sRNA from 1 species
CUGGAGUUGGCUAGGCUGGGCAGAGGACCACAGAGGGAAGAUGGACGGGAAGCUUGACCUUCUGGGUCCAAGGAUGAUGCCGAUGGGAGAGGAGGGAGGCUCAGCAAACCCUCCAUUUUGUCCACUACCUUCCCCUUUCUCAUUCCCCAGCUGCUUUGGGGUGCAGACGCAGAGAAGAAACAGCAGUGCAGCUUCAAGGGCAAGGACCCACAGCGCGACUGUCAAAACUAUAUCAAGAUCCUCCUGCCGCUCAGCGGCAGUCACCUGUUCACCUGUGGCACAGCAGCCUUCAGCCCCAUGUGUACCUACAUCGUGAGUGACCUGUCCUCAGCCCUGAGGCUGACCUGGGAACUGCCCCUCUUUCUGCCCCAGGGAUCCUGUUCUGUAGCAUAGACCCCUGAGGAAAGGCAGGGCCCAGAGGGAGGUUUCUAGGUACCACUGGCCUCCAAGAGCCCUGAGGUCCCACACCCUGGCACAAAGCUCAGCCCUGACAGCCAUGUCUCCCUGUGCGGGGAGGCGGGGGCACAUGCAGUCACUUACCCAUGAAGAUCCUGUGCCACCCACGCCUUGCUGGCCUCUCCUGCUUCUUCCAGCAUCUCUCCCUCUCCUUUGCUUGAUUCUCUUGUCUUACCUUGUACA